ensembl:snRNA U4 U4 spliceosomal RNA
AGCUUUGCGCAGUGGCAGCAUCAUAGCCCAUGAGUUUUAUCUCAGGCACGAUUAUUGCUAAUUGAAAACUUUUCCCAAUAACCCACUGUGACAACUUGCAAUAUAGUCGGCACUAGCAAUUUUUGAUGUUCUCUACAGAGA